UACGUAGGGUGCGAGCGUUAAUCGGAAUUACUGGGCGUAAAGCGCACGUAGGCGGAUACUUAAGUCAGGGGUGAAAUCCCGGGGCUCAACCCCGGAACUGCCUUUGAUACUGGGUAUCUCGAGUCCGGAAGAGGUGAGUGGAAUUCCGAGUGUAGAGGUGAAAUUCGUAGAUAUUCGGAGGAACACCAGUGGCGAAGGCGGCUCACUGGUCCGGUACUGACGCUGAGGUGCGAAAGCGUGGGGAGCAAACAGG
rnacentral:rRNA from 1 species